rnacentral:lncRNA from 1 species
UAAAAAAAUUAAAUAAAUGUAUUGUUUUUGGUGCGUUUGGAUUUUCGUAAAAAUAGAGCGAAAAUACUUUUCGUACUGAAAUGCAAUUUUCGUUCGUUUGUUUACCAAUAAAAGCCCUUUCUUCGUAAGACAAUUUUAUAGAUGGAUAAGAAUGCAAUUUUAAUUGAUAUUUGUUCAUAGAAUUAGAUUUAUAGAUGGAUAAGAAUGCUAUUUUUUAACAGAUUAAUCAUAACCGUUCAUUCUUAUUUGAGAUUUUUUUUAAUUAAGUGAUCAUACCUGUUGGUAGAAAAUAUAGAAAAUAUUUUUUAUUCCNUAUAGAUGGAUAAGAAUGCAAUUUUAAUUGAUAUUUGUUCAUAGAAUUAGAUUUAUAGAUGGAUAAGAAUGCUAUUUUUUAACAGAUUAAUCAUAACCGUUCAUUCUUAUUUGAGAUUUUUUUUAAUUAAGUGAUCAUACCUGUUGGUAGAAAAUAUAGAAAAUAUUUUUUAUUCCUUUUUGGAUUCCUUUAUAGAUGGAUAAGAAUAUUAUUUUUUAACAGAUUAAUUAUAACCGUUCAUUUUUAUUUGAGAUUUUUUUUUUUAUUAACGGAUCAUACCUGCUAGUACCUAUUCGUAGGAAAUAUAUAGAAUAUUAUUUUAUUCUUUUUUCGAUUCUGUCUGUCAUUGUCAGAAUUUCUAUACACUUUUAUAUAUAGUAUAGAUAUAGAUAUAUAUGGCUAAAUUGCAGAAAACUCCCUUGUCAAUACCCGCUUUUUUACUUUUCCCCCCUGUCAUUUAAAAACCUACACUUUGCCCCCUUGAAAAAUGAGAAAUGUUUACAAAGGGGUAAACCGUGACAAAAUGAUCAAAAUGUCGUUACCAUCUUCGUUUUCUGCCCUAACCUCUCUCAGCCGUCGCCCCUCCUCUUCCGUUCUUCGCGCCUUGCUCAACCACAGCUCCGACUCUAUUUUCCUCCACAUGCUCGCUCGCUCUUCCUGCACUCGCGUUGCCCCCCAUUUC